CAUUACUGAAUUGUCAACACGAGUUGUUGCUGGCCCCCAAACCAGGGGCACGUGCACACUCUGUUUACACAUCCACCCACACCUGUGCACCAUCUGUAGUUCUAUGGCCUGGGAGACUUUGUCCCCUUGCUGUGGUUCUACAUCUUUACACACACACUACCAUAAAGUCUCAUGGAAUGUUUGCCGCGUUUAACGCAAUACAAUACAACUUUCAGCAACGGAUCUCUUGGCUCUCGCAUCGAUGAAGAACGCAGCGAAAUGCGAUAAGUAAUGUGAAUUGCAGAAUUCAGUGAAUCAUCGAAUCUUUGAACGCACCUUGCGCCCUUUGGCUAUUCUGAAGGGCAUGCCUGUUUGAGUAUCAUGAACACCUCAACUUCUCAUGGUUUGCCAUGAUGAGCUUGGACUUUGGGGGUCUUGCCGGCCUAUGGUUGGCUCCUCUCAAAUGGAUCAGCUUGCCAGUGUUUGGUGGCACCACAGGUGUGAUAAAUAUCUACGCUUGUGGUUUUCCACCAUGUAACCUUCAGCAAUGAAGGUUCGCUGGAGCUCACAAAUGUCUCUCCUCAGCGAGGACAGCUUUUGAACGUUUG
rnacentral:rRNA from 1 species